rnacentral:lncRNA from 1 species
AGCCUUUGAUUAGAUGACACCCCUCCCUGAAUGAUUGAAGGAAUCCUUUGUGACCCCGUCAACGAAUGGCAGCAACGUGUCCACCGGAAGGGAGAGGAGACACCGAGGGAUACGCUUAUGGGUGAGGCAUGGCUUGCACCACCACUGCAUUCUUUUGCCUCUUCUACGAAACCUCUUCUGCGUUCCAACGCUUUCUCCUUCUCGCAAGGAGGGCUUGCCAACAAAGGGAGAGCGAGAGAGCAAUGCGCUACUGUCGAUUAAGGGGAGGAAGAAGGAUGAUAAUUCGUACGAUGCCAACCACGAUGGUCUAUAAUAAUAAUUCCGCACCCAACACCAACCAAAAUGGUACGCUCUGAGUUAAUGGGUGAAGCGUCCAUGUCCCGUGAUAAAAACUCUCUAUCUAGUCUUUGAUGUAUUCCUCUUCUUUCACCAGCACAUGUUAAGAGAAUUUACUCUCGUCCACCCUAACGAGAUGAUCCAAUCUUGCUAUAUAUGCCUUGCCUGCAUUCCUCGAGAGAAAGUAAUUGUUGUACUCAUCUCUUUAAAUCAAAGUUUCAUGCAUACAUCCCUGCAAAGCUUAUGAACUCAUUCUCUCAUAGUCAAAAUGGUUUUGUCAAUACACCUUAAAAACAGUUAUGAUGGCAUUAUAAUCUAUACAUAUAUAAUGAUAACAUUUUUUCCUGCUCGAAGUGGGCAAGAAUAAUGAAGAUGGUAAAAAGCACACAUUUAAGGCUCUGUCGGUGGCUCACAGUCCUAAAACAAAGGCUACAGCCUAAAGGGUUGCUUAGAGUUUUAGCUUCUAUAUGCAAUCCAUAAUAUAGCACAUAAAUAGAUUUGUGAGGGUCCAUUUGUCAUGCUUUUUCCAGUCAGAUGUGGAUUCUCAAACAUGUAGUAGGGUUCGACUUCCAUUUCCCACUCAAUCAUGGCAUCUGAUACCACGGAGAGACUGUGUUCUUCGGUCAUACAGUACAGUGUCGUCUUUACAGAUCCAUCCUAUGAGGCUACACCAACUAAAAAAAGAGGGUGAAGAAAUAUCUCUUGGGAGAUUUAUGUCAACAUCCCUAACGUGAUCAAUCAGCUGCCAUGAGUUUGCUUCUUCAAGGUCACACCAGGCGUCUCAAUGUGACUUCUUUUUCUUUCUCUUCUGCUUGUGGGGGAGUUCGCAUGUCACAUCUGCAAGUUCUCCUUGUCAAAAGCCACAUCAAAAUGAAGUUUGUUUUGACCUUCUUUCUUGAAGAAGUUGAUGAAUCGUCAAUGGUCUAUCGCAAGUGCAGAUGUUCACGAGGGAAGAUAAGAUGUUCUUAUGAUCUCGAGGCUAUAUAAAAAUACAUAUAUGAUCUCAAGGCUAUAUAUAAAUACAUAUGUAAAACCUUAACAAUACCUAUCUAUCUAUACAUAAUCUUUCCUAGAGAUAUUUGUCUAUCAAUCUGAAAAAAAAAAAGAAUUUUAUAACUUAAUAUUAAUUUCAUAAUUUAAUCGUCAUUUACCAAGUAUUUCAUUAUAAAUGUAAAUUUCGACAUAGAAAUUAUAAUAUCCUAGUUAGUCCCAGGACAAAAUUAAGAUUGACUUAUAAGGGUCUAACGAGUAUACUAUUAUCAACUUUAACCUAAGCAUUUUAGCCAAUGAUUUGAGCUAAUCAAAGUUGAUAGAUCAGUUAGCUCAUCAAGUUUGGAUCGUGAUACUUGGUAUCAAAGUCGAUUUAGUAUUUAGACAUGGUGAGGGAGCUCGAGUAGGAAAAAACUAUUCGUAAAUAGAGUCAAAGGACUCAUCACGUCGUGAAGCCACAAUUAGACUACGACUCAUAUGCAUCAUACAUGGUUUGAUCUAGAUUAUGCUAUAACUUGACGAGGACGUCAAGCCAAAAAAAUUAUAAUAUCUCGAUUAGAGCUUGAGUAGAAAAUGAUACCUAGAAAUAUUAUAAUAUAAUAUUUAAGAAUAAUUACUAAAAUGAGAACUCAAAAGAAUAUAUUUUUGUAUUUUUCAUUUGAUAUUAUUAUGAUGGCUAUGUAUGAAAAAUAAAAAAAAUAUUUAAAGAAAAAUGACAUAAUGGAAGAAAUGAUAAAGAAUGAGGCGCUUGAUUGCAUUUAAAGAAAUGGUGGUAUAGGUGAGGUGAAAGUAAUAGAAGAUAUAACCUUUUUUUCUUCCAAGAUAUCAUUUUCACAAAAGGAAUAUUUUUUACUUGGGAUAAUUUUCACAUUCUACUGGCAAUUCAUGUUGACAAAUAAGCUGGAAUUUGCUGUAUAUUCUACAAAUCUCAUUGCAGGGAUGUGAUGGAGACUCACAGUCUGCAAGCCUUGCAGCAAUGUAAAAGGGAGACCAGUUUAGUUUUGGGAGGAAGAGAACCUGUAGAUUGAGUUUGAUGAGCCUUUCACACCCAUCCAAAACAAUCUUGUUUGCCACCCCUUCACAGAAUGAAUUCCUUUUCAGAUGUUAAUGUUGUUGUAGACAGGCAAAGUGUCAUGUGUUCUAUUCCAAUCAUUUAUGUGCAUGUACUUGUCAUUUCUCUUUUAUAUAUUGAAGCCAUUUUCUUGAGUCAAAAUCUUUGAAAUCAUAAUAAUUAUCCUUCAAUGGAGGUUUUCUUAUUAUCAUCAUCCUUCAUGUCAGAAAAACAAAAACAAAA